UUCAUGGACUUUUUUUUUUUUCCUUAGGGGGAAUGGGGAGUGCGUGAGAAUGACAUGAGCAUAAAUGCAACCUGCGCACUCUAUCAGCGGGACCGGAAAGCUCGCUGGUGUGUUUGGUCAUUUUUCUCUCUUCCCUGAUGAUUGACAGCCGCUCGUUUUGAUUUCUUCACUGCUUGGUGGUGUAGACGCACGCUGCACGUCUUCUUGUUCGUUGACUUUAUGCUGCUGGAGGAACACAUGCUUAAGGGGCAACAUGUGCCCUCUUUGGAAAGUUGUUCCAGGUAGUCAACACCUUACAGGUGCAGCUCAAACCUGCAGUUUUUCCUUCCACCUUCUGUACUUUUACUCUCAGGGGAAUGCUUAUGUGUGUAGCAUGUUCAAGCUCUGCCCUGACGCUGAGAUUCAACAAUCAGCACUGUUAAUUCUUUAAACACCAGGUUUCAGCAGUUGGUCACUGACAAUGCGACAUCAAUGGCUCUGCAAUAGCCUUCGCUGCCUGAGUAAAUGGGGAGAAUGGGCCUAUAAUGGACAUGAGGACGAGGAGUCAUUUGAAUCGCCUGUUGAUCACACCGCCCACCCAUUGAAGAUGGAGGGAGGGUUUUAUUGGGUGUUGUUUUAUCAGGUGCGAAUAAAGCAUCAGCUUUAUAAUUA